GGGGUUGUUCCGGAUUCGACUUAUGACGUUAAGGGGCUGUAAGCAUACCGAAGGCACGGCUUCGUAAAAACGGAAACUUAAAAUUAACUGACGAAUCAAAUCUUCAGUACGCUGCCGCUUAGUUGCAGCCGUCAGACCUACUUCCUGCGGGUAGCAAUCUGGCGUGGUUUAGCAGGGAACCGAGUUUAGUAGCGCCUUGGGCUAAAAACGGAACUUAAAGGCUUGGUUGAAGUGGGGUUUGCCUAUUGACCUAACGGAUACGACAAUUAACAACAGGCUAAAUAUGUAGAAAGCAAUUCGGUAACUUAUAAGAACAGGGGUUCAACUCCCCUCAACUCCACCA
rnacentral:tmRNA from 1 species